ACAACAACAUUGGGACCGUCGGUCUACCGAGCAAUAUCACCCGCUCGGUGGAAGAUCUUCCCUUUGUCGAAUGCC
rnacentral:pre_miRNA from 1 species